rnacentral:rRNA from 1 species
ACUCAAAGGAAUAGACGGGGGCCCGCACAAGCGGUGGAGCAUGUGGUUUAAUUCGAAGCAACGCGAAGAACCUUACCAAGGCUUGACAUAUAGACGGCAAAUGCAGAGAUGCAUCUCCCUUCGGGGCGUCUAUACAGGUGGUGCAUGGUUGUCGUCAGCUCGUGUCGUGAGAUGUUGGGUUAAGUCCCGCAACGAGCGCAACCCUUAUUUUCAGUAGCCAGCAUUUAAGGUGGGCACACUGGAGAGACUGCCGUGGAGAACACGGAGGAAGGCGGGGACGACGUCAAAUCAUCAUGCCCCUUAUGUCUUGGGCUACACACGUGCUACAAUGGCUCAAACAAAGUGACGCGAAGCCGCAAGGCGGAGCAAACCACAGAAAAGGAGCCUCAGUUCGGAUUGUAGUCUGCAACUCGACUGCAUGAAGUUGGAAUCGCUAGUAAUCGCAAAUCAGCAUGUUGCGGUGAAUACGUUCUCGGGCCUUGUACACACCGCCCGU